rnacentral:rRNA from 1 species
GACGAACGCUGGCGGCGUGCUUAACACAUGCAAGUCGAACGGAAAGGCCCUGCUUUUGUGGGGUGCUCGAGUGGCGAACGGGUGAGUAACACGUGAGUAACCUGCCCUUGACUUUGGGAUAACUUCAGGAAACUGGGGCUAAUACCGGAUAGGAGCUCCUGCUGCAUGGUGGGGGUUGGAAAGUUUCGGCGGUUGGGGAUGGACUCGCGGCUUAUCAGCUUGUUGGUGGGGUAGUGGCUUACCAAGGUUUUGACGGGUAGCCGGCCUGAGAGGGUGACCGGCCACAUUGGGACUGAGAUACGGCCCAGACUCCUACGGGAGGCAGCAGGGGGGAAUAUUGCACAAUGGGCGGAAGCCUGAUGCAGCAACGCCGCGUGCGGGAUGACGGCCUUCGGGUUGUAAACCGCUUUCGCCUGUGACGAAGCGUGAGUGACGGUAAUGGGUAAAGAAGCACCGGCUAACUACGUG